rnacentral:tRNA from 1 species
GACCGCGUAGCUCAGUUGGAAGAGCAUUGGGCUAGUAUUCCAAAGGUUGUAGGUUCGAAUCCGGCCGUGGCCA